UACGUAGGUGGCGAGCGUUGUCCGGAUUUACUGGGCGUAAAGAGCGCGCAGGCGGUCGUGCAAGUCGCGUGUGAAAGCCCCCGGCUCAACUGGGGAGGGUCACGCGAUACUGCUCGACUGGAAGGCAGGAGAGGGAAGUGGAAUUCCCGGUGUAGUGGUGAAAUGCGUAGAUAUCGGGAGGAACACCAGUGGCGAAGGCGGGUCU
rnacentral:rRNA from 1 species